rnacentral:rRNA from 1 species
CCAGACUCCUACGGGAGGCAGCAGUGGGGAAUAUUGCGCAAUGGGCGAAAGCCUGACGCAGCGACGCCGCGUGAGGGAUGAAGGUUCUCGGAUCGUAAACCUCUGUCAGAAGGGAAGAAAUUAUAUCAUGCUAAUCAGUGGUGUAUUGACGGUACCUUCAAAGGAAGCACCGGCUAACUCCGUGCCAGCAGCCGCGGUAAUACGGAGGGUGCGAGCGUUAAUCGGAAUUACUGGGCGUAAAGCGCACGUAGGCUGUAUGACAAGUCAAGGGUGAAAUGCCACGGCUCAACCGUGGAACUGCCUUUGAAACUGUCAAACUGGAGUAUGUGAGAGGGCGGCGGAAUUCCUGGUGUAGGAGUGAAAUCCGUAGAUAUCAGGAGGAACAUCAGUGGCGAAGGCGGCCGCCUGGCACAAAACUGACGCUGAGGUGCGAAAGCGUGGGUAGCAAACAGGAUUAGAUACCCCAGUA